ACCAACUUGGCCGAGUGGUUAAGGCGUGUGACUUAAGAUCUCAUGGGCGUCAGCCCGCGUGGGUUCAAGCCCCACAGUUGGUA
rfam:Spironucleus salmonicida unplaced genomic scaffold scf7180000020483, whole genome shotgun sequence.